CCUACGGGAGGCAGCAGUAGGGAAUAUUGCUCAAUGGGGGAAACCCUGAAGCAGCAACGCCGCGUGGAGGAUGAAGGUUUUCGGAUUGUAAACUCCUUUUGUUAGAGAAGAUAAUGACGGUAUCUAACGAAUAAGCACCGGCUAACUCCGUGCCAGCAGCCGCGGUAAUACGGAGGGUGCAAGCGGUACUCGGAAUCACUGGGCGUAAAGAGCGCGUAGGCGGGGUAGCAAGGCAGAUGUGAAAUCCUAUGGCUUAACCAUAGAACUGCAUUUGAAACUGUUAUUCUAGAGUAUGGGAGAGGUAGGUGGAAUUCUUGGUGUAGGGGUAAAAUCCGUAGAGAUCAAGAGGAAUACUCAUUGCGAAGGCGACCUGCUGGAACAUGACUGACGCUGAUGCGCGAAAGCGUGGGGAGCAAACAGGAUUAGAUACCCUUGUAGUC
rnacentral:rRNA from 1 species